rnacentral:lncRNA from 1 species
AGGCCAUGCUUUAACUGGUUGUGAUACAACAUCUUCUAUUUUUGGGAUAGGGAAAAAAUCGGUGUAUAAGCUCUUGAAAACAUCGUCAGAAGAUCUAUCAGAUUUGAUGCAGCUUGCUCAAUCUGAUCUUGAUAUUUCAAUAAACGCCUCAAGAAAACUUGUUGCAAGAUUAUAUGAUCCUAAGGGAAAGUAUAAAUCUUGUCAAAAUGAUU